GACGAACGCUGGCGGCGUGCUUAACACAUGCAAGUCGAGCGGAAAGGCCCUUCGGGGUACUCGAGCGGCGAACGGGUGAGUAACACGUGAGUAACCUGCCCCAGACUUUGGGAUAACCCUCGGAAACGGGGGCUAAUACCGGAUACGACACAGCUUCGCAUGGGGUCUGUGUGGAAAGUUUUUCGGUUUGGGAUGGGCUCGCGGGCUAUCAGCCUGUUGGUGGGGUGAUGGCCUACCAAGGCGACGACGGGUAGCCGGCCUGAGAGGGCGACCGGCCACACUGGGACUGAGACACGGCCCAGACUCCUACGGGAGGCAGCAGUGGGGAAUAUUGCACAAUGGGCGGAAGCCUGAUGCAGCGACGCCGCGUGAGGGAUGACGGCCUUCGGGUUGUAAACCUCUUUCAGCAGGGACGAAGCGUAAGUGACGGUACCUGCAGAAGAAGCGCCGGCCAACUACGUG
rnacentral:rRNA from 1 species